CAACGCCGGAAAUCUCACCGGGGGCGACAGCAAUAUGAAGGUCAGGCUGAAGACCUUACCCGAUUAGCUGAGAGGUGGUGCAUGGCCGUCGUCAGUUCGUACUGUGAAGCAUCCUGUUAAGUCAGGCAACGAGCGAGACCCACGUCCACAGUUGCCAGCAUACCCUCCGGGGUGAUGGGUACACUGUGGAGACCGCCGCUGCUAAAGCGGAGGAAGGAGUGGGCAACGGUAGGUCAGUAUGCCCCGAAUCUCCCGGGCUACACGCGGGCUACAAUGGUUGGUACAAUGGGCAUCUACCCCGAAAGGGGAAGGAAAUCUCUUAAAGCCAAUCGUAGUUCGGAUUGAGGGCUGCAACUCGCCCUCAUGAAGCUGGAAUCCGUAGUAAUCGCGUUUCAACAGAACGCGGUGAAUACGUCCCUGCUCCUU
rnacentral:rRNA from 1 species